rnacentral:rRNA from 1 species
GAUGAACGCUGGCGGCGUGCCUAAUACAUGCAAGUCGAGCGAACGGACGAGAAGCUUUCUUCUCUGAUGUUAGCGGCUGACGGGUGAGUAACACGUGGAUAACCUACCUAUAUUACUUGGAUAACUUCGGGAAACCGGAGCUAAUACCGGAUAAUAUUUUGAACCGCAUGGUUCAACAGUGAAAGACGGUCUUGCUGUCACUUAUAGAUGGAUCCGCGCUGCAUUAGCUAGUUGGUAAGGUAACGGCUUACCAAGGCAACGAUGCAUAGCCGACCUGAGAGGGUGAUCGGCCACACUGGAACUGAGAAACGGUCCAGACUCCUACGGGAGGCAGAAGUAGGGAAUAUUCCGCAAUGGGCGAAAGCCUGACGGAGCAACGCCGCGUGAGUGAUGAAGGUCUUCGGAUCGUAAAACUCUGUUAUUAGGGAAGAACAUAUGUGGAAGUAAAUGUGCACAUCUUGACGGUACCUAAUCAGAAAGCCACGGCUAACUACGUG